AUUGAACGCUGGCGGCAGGCCUAACACAUGCAAGUCGAGCGGAUGAAGGGAGCUUGCUCCUGGAUUCAGCGGCGGACGGGUGAGUAAUGCCUAGGAAUCUGCCUGGUAGUGGGGGAUAACGUCCGGAAACGGGCGCUAAUACCGCAUACGUCCUGAGGGAGAAAGUGGGGGAUCUUCGGACCUCACGCUAUCAGAUGAGCCUAGGUCGGAUUAGCUAGUUGGUGGGGUAAAGGCCUACCAAGGCGACGAUCCGUAACUGGUCUGAGAGGAUGAUCAGUCACACUGGAACUGAGACACGGUCCAGACUCCUACGGGAGGCAGCAGUGGGGAAUAUUGGACAAUGGGCGAAAGCCUGAUCCAGCCAUGCCGCGUGUGUGAAGAAGGUCUUCGGAUUGUAAAGCACUUUAAGUUGCGAGGAAGAGCAGUAAGUUAAUACCUUGCUGUUUUGACGGUACCAACAGAAUAAGCACCGGCUAACUUCGUG
rnacentral:rRNA from 1 species